rnacentral:rRNA from 1 species
AGACGUCUACAUUAGAUACCCCUGUAGUCCCAGCCGUAAACUAUGCGCGUUAGGUGUAUCGGUGACCACGAGUUACCGAGGUGCCGAAGGGAAACCGUGAAACGUGCCGCCUGGGAAGUACGGUCGCAAGGCUGAAACUUAAAGGAAUUGGCGGGGAGCACCACAACAGGUGGAGCCUGCGGUUUAAUUGGACUCAACGCCGGGAAGCUCACCGGAUAAGACAGCGGAAUGAUUGCCGGGCUGAAGACUCUGCAUGACUAACUG